rnacentral:rRNA from 1 species
UACGGGGGGGGCAAGCGUUGUUCGGAAUUACUGGGCGUAAAGAGCUCGUAGGCGGUUUGUCGCGUCGUCCGUGAAAACUUGGGGCUCAACCCCAAGCUUGCGGGCGAUACGGGCAGACUUGAGUACUGCAGGGGAGACUGGAAUUCCUGGUGUAGCGGUGAAAUGCGCAGAUAUCAGGAGGAACACCGGUGGCGAAGGCGGGUCUCUGGGCAGUAACUGACGCUGAGGAGCGAAAGCGUGGGUAGCAAACAGG